rnacentral:rRNA from 1 species
UGCAAGUCGAGCGGUAAGGCCCUUCGGGGUACACGAGCGGCGAACGGGUGAGUAACACGUGGGUGAUCUGCCCUGUACUUCGGGAUAAGCCUGGGAAACUGGGUCUAAUACCGGAUAUGACCUUACAUCGCAUGGUGUUUGGUGGAAAGAUUUAUCGGUACAGGAUGGGCCCGCGGCCUAUCAGCUUGUUGGUGGGGUAAUGGCCUACCAAGGCGACGACGGGUAGCCGGCCUGAGAGGGCGACCGGCCACACUGGGACUGAGACACGGCCCAGACUCCUACGGGAGGCAGCAGUGGGGAAUAUUGCACAAUGGGCGAAAGCCUGAUGCAGCGACGCCGCGUGAGGGAUGACGGCCUUCGGGUUGUAAACCUCUUUCGACAGGGACGAAGCGCAAGUGACGGUACCUGUAGAAGAAGCACCGGCCAACUACGUGCCAGCAGCCGCGGUAAUACGUAGGGUGCGAGCGUUGUCCGGAAUUACUGGGCGUAAAGAGCUUGUAGGCGGUUUGUCGCGUCGUCCGUGAAAACUUGGGGCUCAACCCCAAGCUUGC